CCAAAGGCUCUUUUAAGAGCCACCUCAGUCUAUCAUACGAAGGAGAU
rfam:Danio rerio chromosome 25 genomic contig CTG2378, GRCz11 reference primary assembly.